UUAAGGAAGAAGAUAUGGCCGUUCCUUCGGGAGUAAGCAUCUCCCAACUCCGUGCCAGCAGCCGCGGUAAGACGGGGGAUGCAAGUGUUAUCCGGAUUUACUGGGCGUAAAGCGUCUGCAGGUGGUUUCUUAAGUCUACUGUUAAAUCUUGAGGCUCAACCUCAAAUCUGCAGUAGAAACUAGGAGACUUGAGUAUAGUAGGGGUAGAGGGAAUUUCCAGUGGAGCGGUGAAAUGCGUAGAUAUUGG
rnacentral:rRNA from 1 species